CCAAAUGCGCAAGCGUACACUUAGUCAUCAAGAUGGUAUAUUAUGCAAAUUUUCACAACUUUCCAACUCCUUCACUCUAUUCCUACUGUCUAAUUCGAACCCUCAAAUUUCUAUUUACCCACAACAUGUAUUUUCCCCAGCGUUGAUUUUCAGUACAAUCAUUAACAAAUAAUUACCCAUCGCAAGGAGUUGGGGAGAAAGAGGAGUGUAAUGAAAAAUGUGAUACUUCUUAAAUUUGACUAACAAUAUAAAGGGUUGAAAUGGACAUACCAGAUAUGGGCUGAACAUGAGCAAGGUAAGUCCUACUUUUUGAAUUCCUUUUUGAUUUUGUUUUUCUCAGUGUUUUUGGUCCUUUCUUUCUUUUUGUUUGUCUUAUGCACUGUGCCCGUGUGUGUGUGAGUAAAGACUAAAAACAAGAAUAAGAGAGAGACCUAGGGCUUAGUACCUGAGAGUUUUACGGUGAAAAAAUUCAUCGAAUAAUAUAUUUAUGCUGCCGCAUAUGUGUUAUGCGAUGGGUUAGUGACUGUGUUGUGCAACAGAUCUGCAACCAGUUCUGCGAUCGCAGAAUCAUUAUGCGGUCCACAGAAAGUGAAUCCUCACCGCAUUUAUUAAGGACAAAUUUUCAUUUUUUCAGCUUGUUUAUGUGAUCACUAUGCAGUACUCAAAUCCGUUAUACGAUCUUGCAUUCUAACACACACGAAAAACUGUUCAACAUUUAAAAAUAAACUUACCGAAAUUAAAAUCUAACCAAAAAGUGUUACCAACACAUGGGUUGCCUCCCAAGAAGCAAUUAAUUUAACAUCACAGCACGACGAUAUUUCCCAAAUUUUGGCUAACCAGUUGUGGGGGUUGGUGUAAGACCAUCCUUGAGUGCGAGUUGUUCUACCAAGUGCCUUUCUCCAAUGAUUCCAAGGUAAUGCUUGAACUCUUUGCCAUUUAAUUUGAAGGUGCGAGUCUCGUCCUCAGAUUCUAAUUCAAUAGCGCCGUAGGAAGACACAUUCACAACUUUGAACGGGCCAGACCAUUUGGAUUUGAGUUUGCCAGGAAACAACUUCAGACUUGAGUUGAAGAGUAAGAAGAAGUCAUUGGAUUUGAAUCCCGCUUCAAAAUCUUCUUAUCAUAAACAAACUUCAUUCUUUAUUUAUACGUGGUUGCAUUCUCAUAUGCAUGAAAAUUUAUUCUUCCAUUUAGUUGAGUUGAGUCAUCCUUAGAUUAGAAGCUUAGGUCUAGUGAAGUUUUAACUUUUUCAAUGCCAAGAUAGCUUUGUGUUCAAGCUCCACUGGCAAGUGACGCGUCUUACCAAAAACAAACCGGUAUGGUGAGGUGCCAAUGAGAGUCUUAAAUGAUGUUCGAUUUUCCCAAAAUGUAUCAUCUAGAUUCUUUGACUAGUCGGUCCUGUUUGCAUUAACAAUUUUUGCAUGAAUAUUUUUGAUCUCCUGGUUGGAAACUUUAACUUGACCGCUCGACUGAGGAUGAUAAGAGGUUGCCACCUUUUUCAUAACUCCAUAUUUUUAGAGCAACCCAUAAAUAUAUUUGUUGCAAAAGUGAAAACCACCAUCUUUAAGAAUAGCCCUUGGGUUCCAAAUUGAGUAAAUAUGUUCUACUUCAAGAAGGCGGUUACACUCCUUGGCUCAUUGUUUGGCAAGGAAACUGCCUCGCCCAUUUCAAGACAUAAUCUACUUCCACAAAUAUAUAUGUCAUGCCGUUAGAGAUUACAAAGGGACCCAUGAAACCUUUCCCCCACACAUCAAAGAUCUUGACCUCUAUCACAAAGUUCAUAGGCAUAUUCUAGAAAUGACCCUUGUCUUUGACAUUGAUCACAUGCCUUGACUAUUUGGUUUGCUUCCUGGUAGAUCUAUGACCAAUAAUAGGAACAUUUAAGCACUUUUUCUGCAGUACGAUUUCCACUGUGGUAGCCCCUAACUAGGGAGUCACGACAAACUUUGAGACUUUGAAUUACCUUAUCUUUCGAAAUACAACACUGAAUGAUGCAGUCUGUGCAAAUACGGAACAAAAAGGGUUCGUCCCAAUUGUAUUGCCUACACUCAUGCAAGAACUUUUCUUUUGAUAAGCUUCCAAUCUUUCGGGGAUAAGGUUACUAACCAAGAAGUUAGCGUUGUUGGCAUACCAAGAAGUGAUGGCACUAGAAAAUGCCAAUAUGAGUUCAUAACGAAGGCAUCAUUUAUUUCAAGAUCUUCACUUUUUCUCCCUACCUCUUCAAGCCUAGACAAGUGAUCCACAACUUGAUUAUCUGUUCCUUUCUGAUCUUUGACUUCAAUAUCAAACUCUUGUAACAAAAGAACUCACCUAAUUAAUCUUGAUUUAGCAUCCUUCUUUUCCAUAAGGUAGCAGAGAGCAGCAUGAUCAUUGUGGACUCUCACUUUAGAGUCCAACAAAUAGGCCUUGAUUUUUUUCAAACGAAUAGAGAAUAGAAACAAUUCUUUCUCCAUCACGGUGUAAUUCAUUUGUGCGCCAUUGAGUGUCUUGCGUGCAUAGUAUAUAGGAUGAAGAAUCUUGUUAUUUCUUUGACCAAGUACUACUCCAAUCACUAAACCACUAGCAUCACGCAUGAGUCCAAAUGGAAGAAACCAAUCGGAUGUGACAAUAAUAGGUGGUGUGGUAAGCCUUACUUUCAAUUCCUUGAAAUCUUUGAGACACUUCUCAUGGAACUCAGUCUUAGUAUCCUUUUCAAGGAACUUGCACAUGGGACUUGCAGUUUUUUAGAAGUCUUUGAUAAAUUGCCUAUAAAAAUCGGCAUGUCCCAAAAAGCUCCGAAUGCCUUUUACCAAAGUGGGAGGAGGAAGCUUGGAAAUGAUCUCGAUUUUCGCCUGAUAAAUCUCUAUGCCUUGCUUGGAAAUUUUAUGGCCAAGAACAAUACCAUCGUCAACCAUAAAGUGACAUUUUUUUUUGAUUAAGUACAAGGUUUAGGUUCUCACAUCUUUUGAGCACUUGCCUAAGGUUGUCAAGCCAAUUCUCAAAGGAAUCACCAACUACAGAAUAGUCAUCCAUGAACAUCUCUAAGAAAUCCUCAACCAUCUCCGAGAAGAUUGAAAUCAUGCAUCGUUGAAAGGUAGUCGGGCAUUACAUAGCCCAGAUAUCUUCCAACUAAAGGCAAAGGUACCAUACAGACAUAUGAAUGACAUCUUCUCUUGAUCCUCCAAGGCGUAUUGAUUUGGUUGUGGCCAUAAUAACCAUCAAAUAAGCAAUAAAAUGACCUUCCCACAAGCUGAUUAAGCUUUUUGUCUAUAAAUGGCAUGGGGAAAUGGUCUUUGCAAGUAGCACUAUUGAGCUUCUGGUAGUCCAUGAAAACUCCACUCGGUUACUGUCCUCGUUGGGAUGAGUUCAUUUUUCUUAUUUUGAAUCACGGGCAUGCCUCCUUUCUUUGGCACACAUUGAACCAGACUCACCCAUGGACUACCGGCAUUAGGAGAAACCCCAAUAUCCAACCAUUUUAUAACUUCUUUCUUCACUGUCUAUUGCAUGGAAGGAUUUAACCUUCUUUGAUGCUCCACACUAGUUUUUUUCUCCUCUUCCAAAUGUAUCUUGUGCUCACAAAUUCCAAUAGGAAUCCCUCAGAUAUCCGCUAUAGUCCAACCAAUGGCUUGCGUGUGGUCUCUCACGACAUCUAAGAAGUGUUUAAUCUGCGCAUUAUUCAACAAAGAAGAAACAAUUAUGGGUAGAGCUUCAUUAGAUCCACGAAUUUUAUACCUUAAUACGGUGGAAGUGGCUUGAGCUCAAGUUGUGGCGGCUUCGCAAUUGAAGGCUUAGCGGGAGGGGUGACUAUAUUCUCUAAGUCAAGAGAAAGCUUUUUUUGAUGCAUAAGUGUAGGACCCAAGCCCUUCUAAUACAUUCACCGAUUCCAUGUAUCCUUCCAUAUAUUCACCAUCAAAAUUCACCAAAAUAGCCGUUAAUGCCACACCAAGGAAUUACUCUUCCAUCUUCACCUUGAAUGCACCCUCUACCUUAUCUACAACAUCAUUGAUUGAGAUACUUUCGUAUGUAUGUGGUAAUUUCAUAAAGGUAACUUCUUCAUCAUUAACUCGGAACUUAAUCUCAUUUCGUUUCGAGUCCACCAGUGCCCUCCCAGUAGCAAGGAAUGGUUUCCCCAAGAUGAUUGGGAUAUCUUUAUCAACAGCACAAUCGAGGAUAACAAAGUCGACAGGGAGGAGAAACUUCCCCACUUUCACAAUAACAUCAUCAACAAUUCCCACCGAUCACUUUAUUGAAUAGUCGGCCAUUGCAACCUCAUACUUGUUUGCCUAGGCAUACCUAUUCCCUCUUUCUUGUAAAUAGCAAGUGGAAUUAAGUUGAUGAUAGGUUCAUUAUCACAAAGUGCUCCUUAAAAAUCGUGUGUUUAUCAUUAAAAUGGUAAUAACAGUUAAAUUUAUUGAUGGGACUCUAAAAAUACGUAAUCUAUUUUAUGCUAGUUGUUAGAGCAAUGGAGGCUAGAUAUGUGAAGUUUAACGAUGGAAUACGAACUAAAAUAGAGUUAUAAUCAAACCGAGGGGCUUGUGAUCCGGGCCUUGGACUGGCCGACGAAGGGCCUCGAGGUCGAUGCCUGCUUAAGCUCGAGCUAUCGGGGGUAACCAAGUAGGGACUAACAGUUAGGAUAUAAUUAAAGGAGGCUCUUCAUGGUCAAUAUUAAGCAAUGACAGAAGAACAAGUAUGAAACCAAUAAGUAGAAAGGAAAGCCUCGAGCGAGUAAGUUAGAGAGAAAAGAGAGUUGUUAUUAUCUUGUAUAGAAUAGUUGAAGCAACAACAACCCGCUACAAAGAGACGAGGAUCCCAUUUAUAUAGGAGGGGGAACCUCCCAUAGUAUAAAAUAUUAAUUGGAAAAGCAUGGAGAUAGGACGGCUAGACGCGACGCCUUGAUACAUGCUCUGGGUAGGCUGGCAGUGUCUGACUUCGGCGUGUGCCUUGGGAAUUCCCCAUUUUGCUCUAGCCUCGAUCUAUUUCCUCUUCAUGUCGGGCCUUGACGUGCUUCGGGGGAGGGAACUCUGUCACGCCCCAACCUUGGGAGGCGUGGCUGGCACCCGGUGCUGCCCUGACCCGAGCGAACCACUCUGUGACUGUUUCAUUCUUUUUGUAACUAUCAUUCGUCAAUUGAUGAGUGGUGAUUUUACCACUCAUUCUAGCCUCUUUUGCGUAGCUUUUAUGACCUUUUUAUUAUACAAUGAGGUUGUUUAUGGUGGUUAUUGUUAGAUUUUCAGGUAAAUUAUCCUGUUGAAGUGAAGUGGAAUUGAGGAAAAAGAAGGUGAUACCAUGGAAAACCUCCAGUAAUUUUCGCUUCUGCGGAUAAUUGGUCGCAGGAGCGACUUCUGCUUUUUCGGAUUGUUGACCGCUUCUGCGGAUAAGGAUGAAUAGUCGAGACCCAUUUUUGUAGUUAAAAUUCCGCUUCUGCGUAACCGCAGAAGCACGUUGAGGAUCGCUUCUGCGAUCACUGGCAAAUAGUGACUUUCCUCUUCUGGUUUUGAAUUGUUCCGCAGAUGGUAGAUCGUGCAUCACGCCUGGGGUAGAAUAGGCAUAUCACAUUUUCUCACCCCAAAUCAUUUUUAUACUCGUCUAACGAGAUCUUUUGGAAAUGUUUUGGCUUAUUUUCUGUCCAUAGAGACUAGAGAGAACAAAUUUUGAAGCUAGGGUUUUGCACAAACACACUUGGAUCUUGAAGAUUAAAGCUUGUGGUUAAGGUUUUCUUACCCAUUUAUGUUUGUUUCUUUAUUUUCUUGCUUUAUAUUGAAUAUUUAAGUCUGUAGUAUUUAUUUCCAACACUUGAAUCUUGUAUAUGGGAAUAUUCUUAUUUAAAGUAUGGAUUAAAUACCAUGUUGUGCUUAUGUAUUGAAUGAUUUUUCUAUAUUUAUGAAGUGAGUUAUUGUUACUUGAAUUAUUCUUGUUCUUUAAUGUUUCCAAAGGGAUUAGCUAAGCCCAGGACUCGUCCAUUAACUCCGAAUUAAUUUUGGGAAAAUUAGUUUGGGGUUUGAAAAGGUUAAUUAACAAGAACUUGAGUCGCUAAACCUCAUUUAAUAGAUUCUACCUAGGGAUAUGAUUGAACUACUUGUAGCCUUUCGGGUGUGCUUAAUCUUUUAAUUGUGAUUAGGGAUAAUUCAAUUAGGAAGUCUUGUUAGUCUUCGGAAGAAGCUAAUUGAGAAUUAUUAUUCGUGGCUAAGUAACAUAAACCAAGGAUUUGCCCAUUAACUCCGAAUUAAUUUUGGGAAAAAUAGUUUGGGUAAGGAAAGAUUAAUUAACAAGAACUUGAGGUGCUAACCCUCAUUUUAUAGAUUCUACCUAGAGAUAGGAUUGAACUACUUGUAGCCUUUCGGGUGUGCUUAAUCUUUUAAUUGUGAUUAGGGAUAAUUCAAUUAGGAAGUCUUGUUAGUCUUCGGAAGAAGCUAACUAAUAUCUGUGGCUAAUUAACAUAAACUCGCGCAUAUUUGUAAAAUCGUGAAAUCCAUUGUAUCGUCACUUGAGUGUAAUUCCCGAUGCAUUCAUACUUGUAUCCAUUGAUCAUUUUACGUGUUUUUUAAGUUAGUUUACAUUUCCGCAUUUUAGAUAUAAAAAUAAUUUUCAACCAAAAUUCUUAGUGUUUGGCAUUGCGCAACUAGUGUAAUUUUUCAUACAUUCCUAAUCGCCUACACAUUGCUGUAUGUGGGAUUCGACCACGACUCACGGUUGGGUAAAUUAUAUUGCAUGCGACCGUGUCUAUUGCUUUUUAGAGGUGGAUUUGGACGUCAUCAAAAUUGGUGCCGUUGCCGAGUAACAAUUUGGCAUAAUUUAGGUUGUUUGAGAAGUAAGCGAAAGUGCUUUGAUCCAAAUUUGUGAAUAUUUGUGUAAUUAUUUUUCUUACCUUGAGUCUAUUUUUCUUGUUUGUUUCUUGUUCAUUUUCUUAUUUUUGAAAAAUGGCAUCAGAUAAUGAUAAUUGGCUGGAUGGUAGUUCUUCAUAGUUUGAUGACCCAUGUUCUUAUUGUGGAGGACCACACUCGUGGAAAAAUUAUUUAAGUUCUCCCAGGGGUGGAUUGUGCGCACAAUCUCAUCCCUAUUGUUGGAGUAUUUGUAAUAAGUGUGGUUGCCAAAAUGAUCAUUGGGAUUAUUGUUCAUAUUUGACCUUCCCUUCCCCAAGCCGCUACUAUGAUGAGUUUGCUUUUUGUGAUGAAAACUAUAGGGGUAUGGAAAUGGAAGAAAGUGAGCAUGACCAAAGUUGAGAGUUCAUGCUCAUGUUGGAGUGUCUACUUCAAGAAGGAAACAAGGAGCAAAAUGCCUUGGAACAUCUUUUGGAGAAUAGUCUCCAAAAUGAUUUGGCACUUCAAAGGUUGCACUCACAAAUGGAUGAAUUGAUCGAAUCCUCAAGGGUUCAAAAAGCCUCGGAAGGGAAUGAAAACUAAGAACCUCUCUUGGAAAUUGCACUCACAAAUAGAUGAAAUGAUCGAAUCCUCAAGGGUUCAAAGAGCCUUGGAAGUGAAUGAAACCCAAAAUUCUUCCUUGGAGAUUGAAAGCGAAAUCCCUUUCUUGGCAUUCGAUAAAAAUCAAGAAGAACUCCCAAAUGCUCAAAAUGAGAAAAUAAUGCUCAUGUUGGAGACCGUUCUUGAAAAUGAGGAGAAGCACAACUUUGCACUCGAGGACUUGAAACACAGCUUGAAUUACAAUGAUGAACAUAUCCGCACUUUGGAAGAUCAAAUGCAAACUUUGGUUGAGGCUCACUAUGCCCAAUUCCGAGGAAGAAAGUGAGCUUUACUUUGAGGAGUCAAGAAAUGAACAUCCGCUAACUGAUUCCAUGAGUGUUCGUAAUGCCAAGAAAUAUAUGGAAUUCGAGUCAACCAGUGUAAAUGCAAAUGUGGUUGACGUUGACUCUAAUCCGGGGGGAAAGAAUGAUGUGAAGAUAGAAAAAUUGCAAACUGAAGGCUUGAAGUCACAGUCCAAGCAUUUUUCAAUGUUGGAAUUGUGUGGUGACAAGGAAGUUGAACCACAUGUACCAAUGAAGGACUGCGAGGAGGAAAACCUCAUGCCAUACAUUUUGCAGUUUGAGGAAGCACAAAAACAAAAUGUCAUUCCUCACUUGAGAGCAAGAAGUGUAAAAUGAAGAUUUUAAGCAUUGGCCCGAUCAUCAACUUACCACCCCCAUCACUCGUGGUCACAAGCUUGAUUCCAAGCUAGGUGCCCAAUUCAUAUCAUCAAAGUGGCGAGAAAAGUGGUAACGUUAUUUGCGCGUGCCUCGACGUUAAUUGCGGCGCUCGGUGGGAGGCAACCCAUCAUUUUUCAAAAGUUUUCAUCAUUUUUCAAAUUUUCUUUUUUAGAAUAGCAUAGAAUAUUAUUUUUGACUAAUCUGCUAAGUUUUAAUUUUUUUGGAGUUGAUGUGAACAGGUCGGAGUGGUCUGGAGUGUAAAAACAAG
rnacentral:lncRNA from 1 species